AUGAGUCAGUACCACGAGGAACGAGUCGGCAGAGCAGUCGCUCACAGGAAGGAUGCUGGCGGGGAGUGGGGCAGCUCAGCCUGUUGUCACCUGGAUGCCACCAUGGCCACCUGGUUCCUCUGCUCUGUAACCCUGUGUCUCCUGGGAGCAGGCUUUUCUGAUGACGAAGUUACCCAAGAGCCAAGACAUCUGGUCAAAAGGAAUGGACAGAGCGCCAAGAUGAGCUGUGUCCCUAAAGAGGGACACAAUGCUGUUUAUUGGUACCAUCAAAAGCAAAAUGAAGAGUUGAAGUUUUUGAUUUAUUUUCAGAACAAAAAAGUUGUUGAUCAGAUAGACAUGGCCAAGACACGGUUCUUAACUGAAUAUACUUCAAACUCACCCUGCAGUGUGGAAAUCAAGUCAUCUGAGCUGGAAGACUCAGGCCUGUACUUCUGUGCCAGCAGUCAGUCCACAGCGCUGAAAUGCUCAUCUCCCCUAGUGCUCAAACCCCAUGGACUCGUCAGGAAGCAGCAGAUGGGUUAGACUGGAAGGAAGUAACAGAAAAGACCUGGAGCUGGCGUAACCACAGUGGAUUUUCUCACACAGCUAAAGGGUGCUGAAAAGUCUAGAAUUUGUGGGCUGAAGAUUCUGAUAAAUG